rnacentral:rRNA from 1 species
UACGGGGGGAGCAAGCGUUGUUCGGAAGUUUACUGGGCGUAAAGGGCGCGUAGGCGGCCACCGCAAGUCGACUGUGAAAUCUCCGGGCUUAACCCGGAAAGGUCAGCCGAUACUGCGGGGCUAGGAGUGCAGAAGGGGCAACUGGAAUUCUCGGUGUAGCGGUGAAAUGCGUAGAGUAAUCGAGAGGAACACCUGCGGCGAAGGCGGGUUGCUGGACCACAACUGACGCUGGAUGCACGAAAGCUAGGGGAGCAAACAGG